UUUAUAUAAAAGUGCAAAUACAAUCCGUCUUUAGUCAGGAACGGCACUAAGUGAUGACAAGUUCACUACAACCACAUAUCCAAGCUUGGGUACACGGGCUUGACCCAACGCCUUGGGCGGAUGGUAGCAUAUGGCGAACCAGGAGGGG
rfam:Anopheles gambiae str. PEST whole genome shotgun sequencing project, whole genome shotgun sequence.